rnacentral:rRNA from 1 species
GGGAGUAGCUCGGGGAAACUCGAAUUAAUACCGCAUACGACCUACGGGUGAAAGGGGGCGGCAAGCUCUUGCUAUUAGAUGAGCCUAAAUCAGAUUAGCUAGUUGGUGGGGUAAAGGCCCGCCAAGGCGACGAUCUGUAACUGGUCUGAGAGGAUGAUCAGUCACACCGGAACUGAGACACGGUCCGG